CGGUUGAUCCUGCCGGAGGUCACUGCUAUUGGGAUUCGACUAAGCCAUGCGAGUCGAGAGGGUUCGGCCCUCGGCUGACGGCUCAGUAACACGUGGAUAAUCUGCCCUUAGGUGGAGGAUACCCUCGGGAAACUGAGAAUAAUACUCCAUAGGCCUAGGAUGCUGGAAUGCACCUAGGCUGAAAGUUCCGGCGCCUAAGGAUGAGUCUGCGGACUAUCAGGUUGUAGUCAGGGUAAAGACCUGACUAGCCUACGACGGAUACGGGUUGUGAGAGCAAUAACCCGGAGAUGAUAUCUGAGACACGAUAUCAGGCCCUACGGGGCGCAGCAGGCGCGAAAACUUCACACUGUGCGAAAGCACGAUGAGGGAAUCCCAAGUGCUUGCACGUAAGUGUAAGCUGUUUUUCUGUCUAAAACACAGAGAGAGUAAGAGCUGGGUAAGACGGGUGCCAGCCGCCGCGGUAAUACCUGCAGCUCAAGUGGUGGCCGCUAUUAUUGGGCCUAAAACGUUCGUAGCCGGUUUAGUAAAUGCCUGGGUAAAUCGUGUAGCUUAACUAUACGAAUUCCGGGUAGACUGCUGAACUUGAGACCGGGAGAGGCUAGAGGUACUCCUGGGGUAGAGGUGAAAUUCUGUAAUCCUAGGGGGACCACCAGUGGCGAAGGCGUCUAGCUAGAACGGAUCUGACGGUGAGGGACGAAGCCCUGGGGCGCGAACCGGAUUAGAUACCCGGGUAGUCCANNNGUAAACGCUGCUUGCUUGAUGUUAGUUGGGCUCCGAGCCCAAUUAGUGUCGGANANAAGUUGUUAAGCAAGCUGCCUGGGAAGUACGGUCGCAAGGCUGANCUUAAAGGAA
rnacentral:rRNA from 1 species